rnacentral:rRNA from 1 species
CAGCAGCCCGAGUGGUGAUCGUUUUUAUUGGGCCUAAAGCGUCCGUAGCCGGUCUAGUAAAUCCUUGGAUAAAUCGUGCAGCUUAACUGUACGGCUCCCGAGGAGACUGCUAGACUUGGGACUGGGAGAGGUCGGAGGUACUCCAGGGGUAGGGGUGAAAUCCUGUAAUCCUUGGGGGACCACCAGUGGCGAAGGCGUCCGACUAGAACGGGUCCGACGGUAAGGGACGAAGCCCUGGGGCGCGAACCGGAUUAGAUACCCGAGUAGUCC